rnacentral:piRNA from 1 species
UCGGGGCAUAACAUCUUUAUAGGAUGGA